rnacentral:rRNA from 1 species
UACGUAGGGUGCGAGCGUUUGUCCGGAAUUAUUGGGCGUAAAGAGCGUGUAGGCGGCUUGGUAGGUCCGCUGUGAAAACUCGAGGCUCAACCUCGAGAUGUCGGCGGAAACCACUUGGCUAGAGUCCGGAAGAGGAGAGUGGAAUUCCUGGUGUAGCGGUGAAAUGCGCAGAUAUCAGGAGGAACAGCCGAUGGCGGAAGGCAGGUCUCUGGGCAUUACCUGACGCUGAGGAGCGAAAGUGUGGGGGAGCGAACAGG